rnacentral:rRNA from 1 species
UGGCGGCAGGCCUAACACAUGCAAGUCGAGCGGAUGAAGGGAGCUUGCUCCUGGAUUCAGCGGCGGACGGGUGAGUAAUGCCUAGGAAUCUGCCUGGUAGUGGGGGAUAACGUCCGGAAACGGGCGCUAAUACCGCAUACGUCCUGAGGGAGAAAGUGGGGGAUCUUCGGACCUCACGCUAUCAGAUGAGCCUAGGUCGGAUUAGCUAGUUGGUUGGGUAAAGGCCUACCAAGGCGACGAUCCGUAGCUGGUCUGAGAGGAUGAUCAGUCACACUGGAACUGAGACACGGUCCAGACUCCUACGGGAGGCAGCAGUGGGGAAUAUUGGACAAUGGGCGAAAGCCUGAUCCAGCCAUGCCGCGUGUGUGAAGAAGGUCUUCGGAUUGUAAAGCACUUUAAGUUGGGAGGAAGGGCAGUAAGUUAAUACCUUGCUGUUUUGACGUUACCAACAGAAUAAGCACCGGCUAACUUCGUGCCAGCAGCCGCGGUAAUACGAAGGGUGCAAGCGUUAAUCGGAAUUACUGGGCGUAAAGCGCGCGUAGGUGGUUCAGCAAGUUGGAUGUGAAAUCCCCGGGCUCAACCUGGGAACUGCAUCCAAAACUACUGAGCUAGAGUACGGUAGAGGGUGGUGGAAUUUCCUGUGUAGCGGUGAAAUGCGUAGAUAUAGGAAGGAACACCAGUGGCGAAGGCGACCACCUGGACUGAUACUGACACUGAGGUGGGAAAGCGUGGGGAGCAAACAGGAUUAGAUACCCUGGUAGUCC